UCUUUCUUUCCUUUUUUUUCACUUUUAAGGUAAUUAGCACAGAUUAUUCAACCUGCAAAAUAAUACAUAUGUACAUAGAUAUUCGAUGUAUAUCCUUAUAUAUAAUUUCAUAUGUACAGUUCAGAUGGCGCUCAACGAUACGUUCCGUUCAAAUGUUAAUUUAAAACGUGUGUCGUCCCUUCGAGAAAAUACGUAAGUACACAUACGCUCACAUCGUAUAUACACACAUUCAUACAUUACAUUCACACUCGUCGUACACACAUGUUUGAGAAUAUCCGCGAAAACGCGAAAGGCCUUUCUCUUUUUAUCUUUCUUCGAACACUUUUUUUUCAACUGGUACGACUAGUUAUUAAAUAAUUAAUUAAUCCCUUCUGAGUAUCAUCGAACAUACUAUUUAUAUAAUAUAUUAUGUACAAUGUGUUAAAACGUGUUGUUCUUCGGAUCGAUAGCGUUGUCAAUUUUUCGUCCAGUAGGUAACCUCAAAUUUAUAUUAAGAUCAUAACAAUGUGGAUAAGGACUUUUGAUAAGGAAUUACGGAAGAAAAGGAAGAAAAAAAAUCAACUGGCAAACAAGAUUUCUUUCAUAUGCUAUUCUUUUGGUCAUGUGCUCGAAUUAAAAACAAACAACUAAAGAAGAAAAGAGAAAUCAGAGGACAGACAAUUCUAAAGUUUCGUAGACCGAAAACGAUAAGAAUACAACGACGACGAAUUUAUUAAUGAUAUAUCAAUCAACGCUCAUGCACACACACGCGCGCGCUCACACACACACACACACUCACACACUCACAUAUAUGCAAACACGCACGCACUUAUGCAGGCCAACAAACUCAUAGAACAAUCUUUAUUUUAUUUUAUUAUUUUUUUUUUAUUAAUUUUCUUCUCUUUCUCUUUUAUUUUCGCUCGACUUUUCUUUUGCUCUUAUACAAUGUUUCCGUCACUUUGAUCUUAACAUCGUAUCUGAGAUGAUAAUCAGUUCACCGUACUACAAAUUCCCUCUUUUACAAUCUCUUUUCAUUGGCUCAUCACAAAUUAUCUUUCGUUGUCGAAUAGAUCAGAGAAAUACUUUGAUAUGGAUAAUUAUUAAUACAAAUAUUAAUUGCAAUAAUGAACGGACGCGUAUUCAACCAUAAUAUAUCUAUAAGAUAAUGAUGGCAGUGAGGAUUGAUCGUUUACGCGAGGAACCCUGAAAAAUGUAUACACAAUAUAUUUUCAUACGUGUACGUAAGUACAUACAUAUGUCAUACCAAGUCAGUUACUUCAAAUUAUGAAAGCAUGAAUAUUUUUUCUUUUUUCUUUUCUGUUAUUAUCAAAUCUUAAAGUCUUAAUAAAACUUUUAUCUGACAUCGAUAUAUAUAUAUAUAUAUUUUUCUGUUUUCAUAUUACGAAUAUCACAAAGACAUUUAUCCGAUUGGUAUUGAAUUCAAUUUAGAAACGUUAUUUCUAAUAUCAGUAAAAUAAAUUUCAAAUAUCAUAAAUGCUUGGAACAAGCAUUUAAACGCGGUUUGUUCUUUUUUCUAAAUUGAUAAAUAAAUUAAAUCAAAUGAAAGUUGAAAAAGAAAGAAUGGGAAAAGUUUUUUUUAACUUUCAAAUAAGAAAUGCAUGAAGUUCUAUUUCUUAUACUAUUUUUCUUCUUUGUUCGGUAAAUCGAGUAUGUUGCGAAUUCUAAAUCUUAUUUUUUUCCAGCUUAUCACGUUUGACAUAUGAACUACUGAUAAAGACUAUUUUUUUCUUUUUGAGACAAAAUCUAAAAGAAGGAAUUGUCAAAAUGUGACAGUUAAAAGGUUAACUAUUAAAAGGUAAACUAUUAAAUGUAAAAACUUCUCUUACAUCAUUCAUUUUCAAAUUAAAACAUAUAUAUAUAUGUAUAUUAAUAUAUACAUAUAUAUGUCUUUUAUAACAAAAUAUAAAAUUUGU